rnacentral:rRNA from 1 species
UCAAGUUUUUAAGGGCGCACGGUGGAUGCCUUGGCACCAGGAACCGAAGAAGGACGUAGGAAUCUGCGAUAAGCCUCGGGGAGUCGAUAACCAGACUGUGAUCCGAGGAUUUCCGAAUGGGGAAACCCGGCUGGAGGCAAGUCCAGUCACCCCUGCCUGAAUAUAUAGGGCAGGUGGAGGGAACGUGGGGAAGUGAAACAUCUCAGUACCCACAGGAAGAGAAAGCAACCGCGAUUCCGUGAGUAGUGGCGAGCGAAAGCGGAAGAGGCUAAACCGUACAUGUGUGAUAGCUGUCAGGCGUUGCAUGUACGGGGUCGUGGGACCUCUUGGUCGGCUCUGACAGGCCGACAUGGAGUCAAAAAUUCGCGUUAUAGUCGAAGGGCAUUGAAAGGCCCGGCACAGAGGGUGCGACCCCCGUAGACGAAAUGACGCGAACUCCAUAGAGAUAUCCCAAGUAGCACGGGGCCCGAGAAAUCCCGUGUGAAUCUGGCGGGACCACCCGCUAAGCCUAAAUAUUCCCUGGUGACCGAUAGCGGACAAGUACCGUGAGGGAAAGGUGAAAAGUACCCCGGGAGGGGAGUGAAAUAGAUCCUGAAACCGUGUGCCUACAAUCCGUCGGAGCCUCCUUGUGGGGUGACGGCGUGCCUUUUGAAGAAUGAGCCUGCGAGUUAGUGCUCGGUGGCGAGGUUAACCCGUGUGGGGAAGCCGUAGCGAAAGCGAGUCCGAAUAGGGCGAAUGAGUCGCCGGGUCUAGACCCGAAGCGGAGUGAUCUACCCAUGGCCAGGUUGAAGCGCAGGUAAGACUGCGUGGAGGACCGAACCCACUUAGGUUGAAAACUGAGGGGAUGAGCUGUGGGUAGGGGUGAAAGGCCAAUCAAACUCCGUGAUAGCUGGUUCUCCCCGAAAUGCAUUUAGGUGCAGCGUCACGUGUUUCUUACCGGAGGUAGAGCUACUGGAUAGCCGAUGGGCCCCACCAGGUUACUGACGUUAGCCAAACUCCGAAUGCCGGUAAGUGAGAGCGUGGCAGUGAGACUGCGGGGGAUAAGCUCCGUAGUCGAGAGGGAAACAGCCCAGAUCACCAGCUAAGGUCCCUAAGCGUGUGCUAAGUGGGAAAGGAUGUGGAGUUGCAUUGACAACCAGGAGGUUGGCUUAGAAGCAGCCACCCUUUAAAGAGUGCGUAAUAGCUCACUGGUCAAGUGAUUCCGCGCCGACAAUGUAGCGGGGCUCAAGCACACCACCGAAGCUGUGGCAUUGACACAUUGCCCGGCCGUGAUGUCUGAGGACUCACGGUCCAAGCGUGUUGAUGGGUAGGGGAGCGUCGUGUGGCCAGGGAAGCGGCGGAGUGAUCCAGCCGUGGAGGCCACACGAGUGAGAAUGCAGGCAUGAGUAGCGAAAGACGGGUGAGAAACCCGUCCGCCGAAUAACCAAGGGUUCCAGGGUCAAGCUAAUCUGCCCUGGGUAAGUCGGGACCUAAGGCGAGGCCGACAGGCGUAGUCGAUGGACAUCCGGUUGAUAUUCCGGAACCGGCGAAGAACCGCCCAUACCGAACCACGUAAUGCUAAGCGCCUGAAGUGUGGCACCGUCUUCGGAUGGUUCCUCAUGGAGCGCGCGACCCUAGCGAGUAGUAGGUAAGCAAUGGAGAGACGCAGGAAGGUAGCCGAACCGCGGCGAUGGUUGUUCCGCGGGUAAGGGUGUAGGGCGAGGUGUAGGCAAAUCCGCACCUCAUGUGCCUGAGACCUGACACGGACCCGUAAGGGGAAGUCGGUGAUCCUAUGCUGCCAAGAAAAUCUUCUAGCGAGGUUCUAGCCGCCCGUACCCCAAACCGACUCAGGUGGUUAGGUAGAGAAUACCAAGGCGAUCGAGUGAAUCGUGGUUAAGGAAUUCGGCAAAAUACCCCCGUAACUUCGGGAGAAGGGGGGCCCAGAGGGUGACGGGACUUGCUCCCCGAGCCUGAACGGCCGCAGAGACCAGGGAGAAGCGACUGUUUACUAAAAACACAGGUCCGUGCCAAGUCGCAAGACGAUGUAUACGGACUGACGCCUGCCCGGUGCUGGAACGUUAAGGGGACCGGUUAGCCUCACGGCGAAGCUGAGAACUUAAGCGCCAGUAAACGGCGGUGGUAACUAUAACCAUCCUAAGGUAGCGAAAUUCCUUGUCGGGUAAGUUCCGACCUGCACGAAUGGCGUA